AUUGAACGCUGGCGGCAGGCCUAACACAUGCAAGUCGAGCGAGCGGCGGACGGGAGAGUAAUGUAUGGGGCCCGCCCGAUCGAGGGGGAUAACUACUGGAAACGGUAGCUAAUACCGCAUACUAUCGGAUAACCCAUAUGGGAUUAGCUAGUAGGUGAGGUAAUGGCUCACCUAGGCGACGAACCCUAGCUGGUCUGAGAGGCUGAUCAGCCGCACUGUGACUGAGACACGGCCCAGACUCCUACGGAGGCAGCAGUGGGGAAUAGUGCACAAUGGGCGCAAGCCUGAUGCAGCCAUGCCGCGUGUAUGAGGAAGGCCCUAGGGUUGUAAAGUACUUUCAGUCGGGAGGCGUUACCGACAGAAGAAGCACCGGCUAACUCCGUGCCAGCAGCCGCGGUAAUAC
rnacentral:rRNA from 1 species